GUUGCUCUUUUUAUUGGUAUGAUGUCGUCGUCGUCCGAAGACACAAUGGUUUUCGCACUCUAACUUUAGUUAAAGUGAAUGGAUCUCUAUGAAAUUUUACCAUAAGGUUCAAUACCACAAAAGGAAGGUUGGGAUUGAUUAACGGGGGUAAUGGUACUAACAGUUAAGGAAUAAGGGGCCAAAAAGAGGCCAAAAAUAAGCAUUUUUGUAACUUCCAGACAUAACUUGUGUGUUAGUGUAUGGAUCUCUCUGACAUUUUACCACAAGGUUCCAUAUCACAAAGGGAAUGCUGGGAUUGAUUUUGGGGGUAAUUGCCUAAAAUUUAGGAAUUAGGGACCAAAAAAGGGGCAAAAAACAAGCAUUUUUCUAGUUUCAUGACAAUAACUUGUAUGUAGAUGUAUGGAUCUUUCUGAAAUUGUACUACAAGGUUCCAUAUCACAAAGGGAAAGCUGGAAUCGAGUUUAGGAGUAAUUGCCCAAAACAUUUAGGAAAAAGGGCCCAAAAAUAAGCAUUUUUCUAGUUUCCAGUCAAUAACUUGUGUUUAAGUGUAUGGAUCUCUCUGAAAUUGUACUGCAAGGUACCAUACCACAAAGGGAAGGCUGGGAUUGAUUUUGGGGGUAAUUGCCUCAAAAUUUUUAGGAAUUAGGGGCCAAAAAAUGGCAAAAAACAAGCAUUUUUUUCCUUAUUUUCCUUUUUUUUUUUCUUUAAAAUUUUCCAUUUUAAGUUGGUUAUUUCCGAUUUAUAUAUAAAGCAAAUAAUAAUGAUAUGGUUUGAAUAGGUAAAUUAAAAAUUUUUAAGUUCUUAGACCACAUUCAUUCUGUGUCAGAAACCUAUGCUGUGUCAAAUAUUUAAUCACAAUCCAAAUUCAGAGCUGUAUCAAGCUUGAAUGUUGUGUCCAUACUUGCCCAAACUGUUCAGGGUUUGACCUCUGCGGUCGUAUCAAGCUGUGCCCAGCGGAGCAUUUUAUUUGUGUAUUUCUUAAAUGUCCUAAUAUUUGAUGUAUGACUGCUCAGUUUUACAUGCCUAAAUUACUUCUUAGGUUUUUAUGAAAUUUAUAUUAGCAAUGACUCAAAACAAAUCAGUGCCAAUCAACUACGAUAUUUUUGGAAAUAUUGGAAUUUUUGUACCAAUUCUUUCCUAAUUCACUGGCCUCCCAAACCGGAACUAGCCAGAUUAGCUUCUAAAUCUAUGCACACUGAAAUAUAUUUCACAAUAAUUAUCAUGUCUGUGUACAUAUGAACAUACUGAGUAUUAACUGUUAAAAAAAAUGACUAUAUUUUUAGAGCAGCUGAGAUUCAAGUAUGUA